UUUACGGGCCGGGCCGGGCCGUGCUCAAAUAUGUACGGGUUUUGCGGGUUUCGGGCCGGGCCGGGCCGGGCUAGCCCGAUUGACAUGCCUAGUCUAGGGUGAAAGUCAAGUAUGAAGUAGUUAUGGAAAUUGCCUCUCCUUCGCUGCGUUUUAGAUUCAGCCCAUGCCGAAACCCUAAAUGUUCUCGAUGAAAUCGAAUCUCUUGUCUCCGAUCAACUUCAAGUGGAUUUGAUGGUGAAUCAGAAAACUGUUUUGGGCUUUUGGCUAUGAUAGAUGAUGUGGUGUUUCCUGUUAGCUUUGUUCUAACUAUAAUGAAAGAGCUUGGAAAGGAAGUGAUUGAACGUUGUGAUCCUCUGAUUAUUACUCAAGCAUCCACAAUAAAUGAGAUGAGGGAGACGAAGAUGGGACUGGAGCAGUGAUGAAGCGGAAGCUUCUAGAGAUAGAACUAGAUCCGUUGAUUCUGAGAAUACUCGGAAACUAGAGUUUGAGAGUCCUCCUCUCAGGGCUUUCGCAAAAGCUCUUAGGGUUGUGAAAACUUUUCACAGUGGUUUAUCAAAACCUCUUUAAAUCUUUCGAUUAAUAAAUUCAAUAACAACUGCAUACAAUA